UAAAAGGCUUGGAAGGGAAAAAGUAGCUUGAGGAAAACCCCACAGAGAGCAGCCGGCAGGUGAGAGGCGCAGGGUAGAACUUUUGUGAAUACAUCCCGGAGCUGCGCACCGAAUCGGAACUUGAUACUGUAAAUUAUAAACUUUAUAAUAAUAGCGUAUUAUAGAUAGGCUGCGACGGAAUGGCACCCGUUAUUGUGCUGAAGUGGUUUUAUAUCUUGAUAUAUAUGGAUAUAACGGGAUGUAGAUUCACUUUAUGAGGCAGGAAAUGCGAGUUUUCUGUAAAUUUAGGUGGUAACGCGGGACCCGGUUCUCGUCCUAAAC
rnacentral:ncRNA from 1 species